rnacentral:rRNA from 1 species
UACGUAGGGUCCGAGCGUUGUCCGGAAUUAUUGGGCGUAAAGGGCUCGUAGGCGGUUUGUCGCGUCGGGAGUGAAAUCCCGAGGCUCAACCUCGGGUCUGCAGUGGGUACGGGCAGACUGGAGUGCGGUAGGGGAGAAUGGAAUUCCUGGUGUAGCGGUGAAAUGCGCAGAUAUCAGGAGGAACACCGGUGGCGAAGGCGGGUCUCUGGGCAACAACUGACGCUGAGGAGCGAAAGCGUGGGGAGCGAACAGG